UUCUUAGCGUAAGUAUUUCCCGUGCAAUAUUUGGGACAUACUUAUGCUUAAC
rnacentral:pre_miRNA from 1 species